rnacentral:rRNA from 1 species
UACCCUGGUAGUCCACGCUGUAAACGGUGGGUACUAGGUGUGGGGUCCAUUCCACGGAUUCUGUGCCGUAGCUAACGCAUUAAGUACCCCGCCUGGGGAGUACGGCCGCAAGGCUAAAACUCAAAGGAAUUGACGGGGCCCCGCACAAGCGGCGGAGCAUGCGGAUUAAUUCGAUGCAACGCGAAGAACCUUACCUGGGUUUGACAUGGAUCGGAAGCUUCCAGAGAUGGUUGUGCCUCUUUUGGGGUCGGUUCACAGGUGGUGCAUGGCUGUCGUCAGCUCGUGUCGUGAGAUGUUGGGUUAAGUCCCGCAACGAGCGCAACCCUCGUCCACUGUUGCCAGCAAUUCGGUUGGGGACUCAGUGGAGACCGCCGGGGUCAACUCGGAGGAAGGUGGGGAUGACGUCAAGUCAUCAUGCCCCUUAUGUCCAGGGCUUCACGCAUGCUACAAUGGCCGGUACAGUGAGUUGCGACAUCGUAAGGUGGAGCGAAUCUCAAAAAGCCGGUCUCAGUUCGGAUUGGGGUCUGCAACUCGACCUCAUGAAGUCGGAGUCGCUAGUAAUCGCAGAUCAGCAACGCUGCGGUGAAUACGUUCCCGGGGCUUGUACACACCGCCCGUCAAGUCAUGAAAGUCGGUAACACUCGAAGCCGGUGGCCUAACACUUUUUGUGGGGGAGCUGUCGAAGGUGGGACUGGUGAUUAGGACUAAGUCGUAACAAGGUA